AAAGGUGUAGCUCAGUGGUAGAGCACGUGCUUAGCAUGCACAGGGUCAUGGGUUCAAUCCCCAGUACCUCCA
rnacentral:tRNA from 1 species